AAAGUAGCGAUGAUUGAAAACAAUUCCUCGUACUGAAAUGCUAUUUUUAUGGCAUGAUAGACUCAUCUAUACACCCAUAGAAUAUGAGCGCU
rfam:Beta vulgaris subsp. vulgaris Bvchr9.sca026.con0068.1, whole genome shotgun sequence.